UUCUGUCUCCCAAGCCAAGUA
rnacentral:piRNA from 1 species